rnacentral:lncRNA from 13 species
UGGGCCUCAGGGAGAAAGGCAGGGGCUCCUUCUCUGAGAGAGUGAGUUGGGGGAACAAGGAGGGAGGGCUUCCCAUGGCCCUGAUUUCAGGAUGUUGACUUGGGCUUGAAGAAUGGAGAUAAAACUUGCGGGAAGUAACAGGCUUAAGCCACUCUCCCCUCAUUUCCUACUUCUGUCUCUUCCUCUAGGUACAGCUGUUGGGAGCUGCCUCUCAUGCCCUCAAUCUCCCUGCCUGUGGUUCAGAGGGAAGAAGAGGGGAAAAAAGGAUGAAGAGAAUUAUCUCAGUGCUGGUGAAGGGCCGAGUUCAAGGACUGCCUUCAAGAGGAGCUGGCCUCAGUUUGCCUGUUACAGAAGCUGAGGGCUAACAGAGGCUGCUCUCUGCCUGACAAAGAGGAGAUAAAUGGGUCCACUGGAAAGCAAUGGUCACAAUCAAGUCUUUAUUAUGAAUUAAUAAUUCAUAAUUACUUCAGACUUGCAGAUAAGCACAAGCCCACUGAGAUUAUUUCCCAGUGAGGAACACAGUCAGAAGCGGUGGGAAAGGGGCUUCAGGUCAGACAUUACUGAAAUUCCUUCCUCUGCUUCCCAACCAGAACCUGGAAGAGAUUCAUUAGCUUCCUUGGUUGAUUCCUCCUAACAGCCACCCCGAGCUUCUAAACAGGGCCAUAUUGCCCCUCUAUUCUUCCUAAGGCCAGAGGACCAUCCUUGCCAAAAUGACCUUGGAGCCUGGUCUCUGGAUUUCUGGGGUCUCUCUGGAUUUCUGGGGUCUCUCUGCUCUCCAUUCUGCUAUUUACAUAUGAGGUCCCCUGAAGAAGGGCCUGGUGCUAGGUGUCCCAGGGAGAUAACAUCUUUCUGGCUCUUCUCCCUCUCCCUUACCUAAGUCCCCACAUUGUAGGAGAACACCUCUCUAAAUCUAUGUAGGAAGAGAAGCAGGGAGUGCUCCUUCUAGUGUGAAUGCCUUUGGUUUCCGGAUCUGGAUUUGAGGGAAUGGCUCUAUCUCUUAAGAAGACAUCUACCUAACAUCGACAACAGAGAUGGGGCCUAAAUAGGGCUAAGGAGGAACGCCCAAUUCCAGACCCAGCUCUCUGCUGUUCCCCUUCCCAGUGCACACAAUCCCA